GGAUGCGAUCAUACCAGCACUAAAGCACCGGAUCCCAUCAGAACUCCGAAGUUAAGUGUGCUUGGGCGAGAGUAGUACUAGGAUGGGUGACCUCCUGGGAAGUCCUCGUGUUGCAUUCCU
rnacentral:rRNA from 1 species